GGUCUGGUGGUGUAGUUGGUUAUCACGUCAGUCUAACAGCUCGAAGCAAAUCGUCUGAGAACACUGAAGGUCUCCGGUUCAAGUCCGGGCUAGAUCA
rfam:Colletotrichum incanum strain MAFF 238704 contig1426, whole genome shotgun sequence.